rnacentral:lncRNA from 1 species
CUGGAAUGUUAGCAAGCUAUUUGCUGGAAAAAAUGCCCACAACAGGCCUAAUGUUGAUCACAUUAAUGCGUUUGAGUGAGUAUGGAGUGCAAAUGAUUGAAAAUGCUUCCAGAUCCCCGUUGCAAGGGACAAAGCAGGCUCUGUUCUCUGAUCUGAUGGUCAUUUUUUUUUCCAGCGGAGGAUGUGGGGCAGGAAGAGGGAAGAGGGCCAAUCUCUGUCUAAUGGUUCCAAACAGGGCCCGGGCCCGGCCCUCUGGAUGCUGACGAGUGGGAAAUGAAACACAGAUGGGUCAGAUGGGUAAGGAGAGGGGGAUUACAGGUCAGGCCAAAGAGUUGGAAUAAAUUAAGUGCUUAUGAGGUACAGAAUGGCACAUUGUUUAAGUGAAUGGACAGGGAAAAAACAUUCCAGCAUUGUUCAUCCGCCGAGGGAGCCCAACGCUCCUCUUCCCAGACGAGCCCAGGCCACAGAGCGCCUCCUCCUCGCCAGGAUGUUUGUGACCCACAGACUGAAAACGCGGCCAGGCGGUGCCCGAAACAUUAUCCUAGCCUCCAAAGAGGCCAGUUUGGCUUUAUUACACGGGAGAUGUAAUUUAUUGGGAGAAAUGUUUGGGUUCGUGUGUCGGAUGGUGGAGAGUCAGAUUUGGAGUUCCCUAGGGAUCUCCGAGGAGAAGGUGUGUUAAGGAAAUCACCAAGUCCCAGAGUGUAGACAAGCCCGAUCCCUUCGCAGCAGAAGCAGAUGUUCACAAAGCAACUGACCAGGCCAGGUGUGUCCUUCAAGGCUACCUGCAUUCAACAGAGGCGACCACAGCCCAGACCCAUCCUUCUUGGGAGAAUUUCAAGAUGCUCCACAUAGUGGUGCCUAGCGCUCUGUGCACUCAGAGGCUAGAAGAAAAGAUACAGAGGUCCUCUUUCAAGGAGAGGCCCUGAUGUUUCUAUUCUUACAAGGAUUCUUUGGUAAUAAAUACAGUGAAAACACCGUCACCGUAGAGAUAAUACUUAAUGCUCAAGAGGUACGUAGCAGAGAUUGCAUUCCAAUCAAGGACUUCCGUAACCCUGUCUACCAAGCCAGUAUCACCUGUAGGCCAGUUCACCUUCAUCCAGUCACUUUACAGCACUUGAGUGUUUGCUGUCCGCUCAAUUAAAAUCCUACUCUGGUGGGAAAAACCAGAUUUCCAAAUGGGGACUUUAUUGAUUCAAUAAAAUUUAAGAAAUUCUGCUUAUGGAAAAACUCAUUAACCCAAACUAAUAAAUACGAGUUUACCCUGCAGUCUGGGUCCUCUUUAUUUGACAGAAUUAAAAAAUCACUCUGGAACAACUUAGUUCACUUUUCACUUGUUAAUGGAGCUUAAUAGUUCAGUAAUUCGCUUUCUGUUCUAAGCUGGCGAACUCUUCAUUCUUUCCGACACAACUUGCAUUCUCUUGCUCUCAACUUUACAGAGCCUGCGGGUUACAAAGAGGGUUCACAGAAGUGAAGAGCAGGGAGGAAGGGGGAAGGAAGGAGAACUUUUCCUCGGGCUGAUGUAAUGGCUCGAGGCUCAGCCCCUCCUAGAGGGUGGUGUCAAAUUGCAGGGCACUGUUAAGAUUCUUCAGCAAAGUUUCAAAUGCAAUGUCCCUGUGAGGGACAACGUUAUUAUCGCAUACAUGUCACAGCAAAUUUCCACUUCGGUUCAACAUCCUCUAAAAGAAACUGCAAAAAGCCAAAACUGCAUGUGCAGUGGACAAAACCUUCCCAUCAAUUUUGCCCUCUGGCACAAAGACUUUCCUUUGGAAGGCUGCUACUGUACAAAUGUUUGCUUAUUCUUAGUACAGAACUUAUGAUGUCAGUUUUUUUUUUAAAGCAAGAAUGUGUUAAAAGUAGUUGUGGCUGACUAUGGAUGUCUGAAGGUCUUCGGGAUAAAGUGCAGAGCUUGAGGGGCAACGUCAGAGUUUGUUGAGAUAUUUUUGUCACUGUUCAGUUUUCCCAACACCUCUGGAGAGAUGCCCCAACUGCACCUGUUGUAGCCAUAUAAAUCACACUCCAACCCACCUGCAUUCUCUGGACCAACCACUGCCCACCAAACAGUAAACCACUAGUCAGCUCUUAAUGUGAAAAUCUUAAAAGCUAGUUGUAAGUCAGUCUGAGUUGUUGAAUCUUUGAAAUAUGUCAUAUGGUUUAAUUGCUUAAUUUUCUAUCACUCCACAAUCCUUUUUUUCCCCUUAAUCUAUACUGACUUAGGAAGAAGGAUUUUUUUAUGCAGACAGGAACAUUCAAACUACUUCCACGUAUACAGAUAAAAGUAAAUAAUUGUUUCGUCUCUGGAUACAAACUGAGGAUUCUACUACUACCCCCAAAAGUGAAAAGAUGCACCUUAUGUUCAUAUUUAACACUAUUUAUAAUAGCCAAGACAUGGAAGCAACUUGAAUGUCCAUCAACAAUGGAUAAAGAAGAUGUAGAAUGUACAGACACACACACACACACACACACAAACACAAAUGGAAUACUACUCAGCCAUUAAAAAGAAUGAAAUAACGCCAUUUGUAGCAACAAGAAUGAACCUAGAGAUCAUCAUGUUAAGUGAAAUAUGUCAGAGGAAGACAAAUAUUACACGAUAUCGCUUAUAUAUGGAAUCUAAAAAAUAGUAAAAUGAACUUAUUUACAAAACAUAAAUAGACUCACAGACAUAGGGAAAAAAAUGCAUGGUUACCAAAGGGGAAGGUGGAACGGAAGGAAUAAAUUGGGAGUAUGGUAUUAACAUAUAUAAACUACCAUAUAUAAAAUAAACAACAAGGACCUACUGCAGAGCACCAGGAACUAUAUUCAGUACCUUGUAAUAAACUACCAUGAAAAAAUAGAAUCACUUUGCUGUACACCUGAAAUGAGCACAAUAUCGUAAGUCAACC